GGAGGGUAUAGCUCAGUGGCAGAGUGCUUGCUUAGCAUGCACGAGGUCCUGGGUUCAAUCCCCAGUACCUCCA
rnacentral:tRNA from 1 species